rnacentral:lncRNA from 1 species
GAAAAAAAAAAGAAAGAUAUUACAUAAAAGGUAAAGAAAAAAAAAGAAAAUAAAAAGAAAAUAAAAAAGGGUAAGUACAAAAGCUACACUUUCACUCAAAAAGACUUGCGUUUUUUUUUUAUUUUUUAUAAAAGGUAAGUACAAAAACUGAAACUGGUUUUAAUUUUUUCAGCAUACUCCAAGUGAAACGACGUCGUUUCACUCAAAGAUUUUUUUUAAAACUCUGCCAUCAAAACGACGUCGUUUCAUUACGCUUAGAAAAAAAAAAAGGGUCAUCUUCCUCCUCGCGCCGUCUUCCUCGCAGAGCAGUUUCAGAUUUCCAGAUUCUGAAAUUUCUUCCAGUUUAGAAGUUUCCGAAUCUGAUACGCCUCGCUCCGCCUAGCCACGCCUUCCAA